AGUGAACGCUGGCGGCAGGCCUAACACAUGCAAGUCGAACGGCAGCACAGAGGAGCUUGCUCCUUGGGUGGCGAGUGGCGGACGGGUGAGGAAUACAUCGGAAUCUGCCUAUUUGUGGGGGAUAACGUAGGGAAACUUACGCUAAUACCGCAUACGACCUACGGGUGAAAGCGGAGGACCUUCGGGCUUCGCGCAGAUAGAUGAGCCGAUGUCGGAUUAGCUAGUUGGCGGGGUAAAGGCCCACCAAGGCGACGAUCCGUAGCUGGUCUGAGAGGAUGAGCAGCCACACUGGAACUGAGACACGGUCCAGGAUCCUACGAGAGGAAGCAGUGGGGAAUAUUGGACAAUGGGCGCAAGCCUGAUCCAGCCAUGCCGCGUGGGUGAAGAAGGCCUUCGGGUUGUAACGCCCUUUUGUUGGGAAAGAAAAGCAGUCGGUUAAUACCCGAUUGUUCUGACGGUACCCAAAGAAUAAGCACCGGCUAACUUCGUGCCAGCAGCCGCAGUAA
rnacentral:rRNA from 1 species